UUCUUUAUCACCGAGUGCUUGCACUCACCGAUAAAGAGUUUAGUGGCGAACGGGUGAGUAACACGUGGGCAACCUGCCCAAAAGAGGGGGAUAACACUUGGAAACAGGUGCUAAUACCGCAUAACCAUAGUUACCGCAUGGUAACUAUGUAAAAGGUGGCUAUGCUACCGCUUUUGGAUGGGCCCGCGGCGCAUUAGCUAGUUGGUGGGGUAAAGGCUUACCAAGGCAAUGAUGCGUAGCCGAACUGAGAGGUUGAUCGGCCACAUUGGGACUGAGACACGGCCCAAACUCCUACGGGAGGCAGCAGUAGGGAAUCUUCCACAAUGGGCGAAAGCCUGAUGGAGCAACGCCGCGUGGGUGAAGAAGGUCUUCGGAUCGUAAAACCCUGUUGUUAGAGAAGAAAGUGCGUGAGAGUAACUGUUCACGUUUCGACGGUAUCUAACCAGAAAGCCACGGCUAACUACGUGCCAGCAGCCGCGGUAAUACGUAGGUGGCAAGCGUUAUCCGGAUUUAUUGGGCGUAAAGAGAACGCAGGCGGUCUUUUAAGUCUGAUGUGAAAGCCUUCGGCUUAACCGGAGUAGUGCAUUGGAAACUGGGAGACUUGAGUGCAGAAGAGGAGAGUGGAACUCCAUGUGUAGCGGUGAAAUGCGUAGAUAUAUGGAAGAACACCAGUGGCGAAAGCGGCUCUCUGGUCUGUAACUGACGCUGAGGUUCGAAAGCGUGGGUAGCAAACAGGAU
rnacentral:rRNA from 1 species